rnacentral:rRNA from 1 species
UACGUAGGGUGCAAGCGUUGUCCGGAAUUAUUGGGCGUAAAGAGCUCGUAGGCGGUUUGUUGCGUCGGCUGUGAAAUCCCGAGGCUCAACCUCGGGUCUGCAGUCGAUACGAGCAAACUAGAGUGUUGCAGGGGAGACUGGAAUUCCUGGUGUAGCGGCGAAAUGCGCAGAUAUCAGGAGGAACACCGGUGGCGAAGGCGGGUCUCUGGGCAACAACUGACGCUGAGGAGCGAAAGCGUGGGGAGCGAACAGG